UGAGGAUGAUGCAAAUAACAAAAAAAUUGGAGCAUAUUUGCUCUGUGAAAAGAAGCUCUCAAUGAGCUCUGAUCAUAUAAUUUCACCAGAUUCAACUAAUUGUCUCAAUCGUUGGAUAUCGUUGAAAAAUCAAUGUUAUUGUGGUGCAUGGUUGUCGUCAGCUCGUGUCGUAAGGUGUUGGGUUAAAUCCUGCAACGAGUGUUAUCCUCAUGUUUAGUUACCAACAUUGAGUUUUGAACCUUGAAUAGACUGUCGAUGAUAAGCUAGAGGAAGGCGAGGAUGAUGUUAAGUCAUCAUGCCCCUUAGGCCUUGGGUGACACGUGUUACAAUGACCAAGACAAAGGGUCGCGACCCCACGAGGGCAAGCUAACCUCAAAAAUCCUGCCUCACUUCAGAUUGUAGGCUGCAACUUGCUUGCAUGAAGUCGAAAUUGCUAGUAAUCAUUGGUCAUCCAUAUAGUGGUGAAUCCAUUCCUUGACAUUGUACACAUCGCCCAUCACACUAUGGGAGCUGGCCAUGCUCCAAGUCCUACCUUAACUGCAAGGAAGGGGAUGCCGAAGGUUGGGCUAGUGACUGGAGUGAAGUCGUAACAAGGUAGCUGUACUGCAAGGUGCGGCUG
rfam:Picea glauca, whole genome shotgun sequence.